AUACGUAGGGUGCAAGCGUUAAUCGGAAUUACUGGGCGUAAAGCGUGCGCAGGCGGUUUUGUAAGACAGUGGUGAAAUCCCCGGGCUCCACCUGGGAACUGCCAUUGUGACUGCAAGGCUGGAGUGCGGCAGAGGGGGAUGGAAUUCCGCGUGUAGCAGUGAAAUGCGUAGAUAUGCGGAGGAACACCGAUAGCGAAGGCAAUCCCCUGGGCCUGCACUGACGCUCAUGCACGAAAGCGUGGGGAGCAAACAGGAUUAGAUACCCUGGUAGUCCACGCCCUAAACGAUGUCAACUGGUUGUUGGGGAUUUAUUUUCUCAGUAACGAAGCUAACGCGUGAAGUUGACCGCCUGGGGAGUACGGCCGCAAGGUUAAAACUCAAAUGAAUUGACGGGG
rnacentral:rRNA from 1 species